rnacentral:tRNA from 1 species
GGUCAGGAUAGCUCAGUUGGUAGAGCAGAG